rnacentral:rRNA from 1 species
UACAGAGACCUCAAGCGUUAUCCGGAAUCAUUGGGCGUAAAGCGUACCGAUAGGUGGUUUUACAAGUCAGAAGUGAAAUCUCUCAGCUUAACUGGGAGACUGUCUUUUGAAACUGUAAAACUAGAAGGGCAAAGAGGAAGCUGGAACAAACGGUGUAGUAGUGAAAUGCGUUGAUAUCGUUUGGAACACCAAUAGCGUAGGCAGGCUUCUGGGUGCCACUUGACACUGCUAGGACGAAGGCGUGGGGAGCAAACGGG